rnacentral:rRNA from 1 species
CGGGACGGGUGAGUAAUGUCUGGGAAACUGCCUGAUGGAGGGGGAUAACUACUGGAAACGGUAGCUAAUACCGCAUAACGUCGCAAGACCAAAGAGGGGGACCUUCGGGCCUCUUGCCAUCGGAUGUGCCCAGAUGGGAUUAGCUAGUAGGUGGGGUAACGGCUCACCUAGGCGACGAUCCCUAGCUGGUCUGAGAGGAUGACCAGCCGCACUGGAACUGAGACACGGUCCAG